rnacentral:misc_RNA from 1 species
UAUAGGUUCAAAGACCGCAUAACGCUUUAUCCCUGAGAUUUUUUUUUGGUUGAUGAAGUUAUGAGAUUACUGUGUGUUAGGUGUACUUAUCUAUGACACCUGAUAUGCAGAACAGGUCCUUUGAUAUAGUUGGUGAUCCAUAGAUUUCCCCUCAUACUUUUGAGGCUAUGUUGUUGAUUCAAUUUAUGGGUUUCAGACUUUCACUAAGAAGUAAGACUUUAUGAGCAGUUCCCAAGCGAAGCAAAGUGCUAGAAUUUCAAUAAUCCUUGUUUGUCCACACAAUGAUAGUGUUUUGAUCAGAGCUAGGGAUGAUGUUUUGUUUUUGGCUUCACUAUGGUAGUUCUGUUAAUGGUGAUUUGUUCACACACUAUUUAAUGCAAGUGGAGAGUGUUAAG